UUGCCCCCCCAGUGAUGGUGUUUAUUACAUGAGCUAGGGGUUGGUCUUCUUGUGGUCCCAUUCGUUGUGGUUGCUUUACUGAUCGAGGGGACCUCUACCUUUCUUUUGCUACUCCCACCUUCAUCGGAUGAAUCGAUCGAGAUGACCACACCUGAUAAAAUCUUCGAUCUCGUCUUGGAGUUGAAUGCACUCCUUUAUGUCAUGAUCGUGGUCUUAGUGGUACAGACAGUACUUAUUCAGAUUUUUUUUGAUUCGAGAACAUCUAUAGCCUCC
rnacentral:lncRNA from 1 species